rnacentral:tRNA from 1 species
UGGGAGGUCGUCUAACUGGUAGGACAGCCGCCUGUAAAACGGCCUAUCCGGGUUCGAAUCCCGGCCUCCCAA